UACGUAGGGGGCAAGCGUUGUCCGGAUUUAUUGGGCGUAAAGAGCGUGUAGGCGGCCAGGUAGGUCUGCUGUGAAAACUCGAGGCUUAACCUCGAGCUGUCGGCGGAAACCAUCUGGCUAGAGUCCGGAAGAGGAGAAUGGAAUUCCCGGUGUAGCGGUGAAAUGCGCAGAUAUCGGGAAGAAACACCCGUGGCGAAGGCGGUUCUCUGGGACGGUACUGACGCUGAGACGCGAAAGCGUGGGGAGCGAACAGG
rnacentral:rRNA from 1 species